rnacentral:lncRNA from 1 species
CAAGCUUACAGGCUCAGGGGCUCAGGAGGCUCCAGGCUAAAUGGUGUUCCAGAAGGCUUCACCUGAGGGUAGAAAUUCACCUUCAGGUACCCCCUCCCUGCCUGCGUGAGAGCUGAGAGAGGAAGAUGAAUUCCUUAAGCUCUUCCCUGUGCUGGGAAGCAGUAGUGUUAAGAGAGAUCUCUGUGCUGAAGAUGGAGCUGCAGCCAAGAUGACCGGCAUAGUUUAUAGGCUUAUUCCACUGCCAGGCUUGCUUUUGGCCGUGGAGCUGAUCUUUUGCUGCCUGAAAUAUGCGACAAUCAAGAAUUUGAUGGUGCAGAGGGAUUUCUUCUUGGUGCUGGCUGCUAUGAAAUAUUUGGGGCCAGAGAUGCAGGGAAGCCCUAGAGGAAAGAAGGGUUGCCUCAGUAAACGUUUCUGGAGCUCCCUGGGAAGGGCCCCUGUGGUUCUCCAAAGGUUUUCCUGAUGCUGCAGUCAGCCACUAGCCUUCAGAUUGCUGGUCUUCAUAUCAUCCCAUCAUCUCGGGGCAUUUCACUAUUCCAGACACUUCCCACUGGCCUUGAUCUCCCUCAUCCUCUCUUCCUCCACAAGACUUUGUGAUUAAUUUCUGCUGCCCCCUCCUGGAAUGACAACUUGCUCAAGUUACGCCCCCUCCUCCAGGGUUCAGUUCUAAUUACAUUUUGUCUAGGAACUCUAAGAUCCCUAGAAUGUAAAUACCUCCCCUUCUUAUUCUCCUACUGUACUGUGUACCCCCAUAAGCCAAGAUGCCUAUGAUGAAUGCCAAAAUGGUUAUUUACACGUUUUUCUUCCUACUACCUCCAGCAACCAUGUGGAUACAAGGAAUAGAUCAAAUUAGUUUUUUGAAACCUGCCCAAACACUGGCACGGUAUAUGGUACAUAGUAAGUCUGUUAAAUAUAGGAUAAAACUGGGUUGCCUUAAAUUCUAACUAGAGUGUAAAUGACUGAUUGUCAUACCUCUACAGAAUGUACAAGAAAAACUGUCUCCAUGGUAGGAAUUUUUGUUCUAAUCAGUCCAUGGAAAGAAAAAGCUAUUAUUGAACUUCCCAGGAAUCUCCCAGGCUGAGAAGUCUACACAAUAUUCAGGUAGGUAAAGUGUCAAAGAAGUUUAUCGAUUCAUGACGAGAAUCCUGUGAUGUCUCCUACCAAUCUUUCCAAGUGACAACACUAGCAGGUUUCACACAGUGUUAGCCUCAUUUAACCAGCCAUCAUUUCCAUUUAAAAAAUACGAGGGGAAGAAUUAAGAGUGAGUAGAAAAAAUGCCUUUGAAUUAAAAUCGUUGCUUUUCUUUGAACAUCCAGAUGAUUAAAUGAGAUCCAGACGAAAGCCUGCAAAUUCCAAAAAAUAAAGCCCAGCCGGGGGUAUCUGCAUUCCCUCAUGUUUCUGCUGGUAACCCCGUGGUAAAGUAAAGUAAUGAUUGAUUUGGAGAGAAUUAUGGCUAUUAUAAACUGUAAUCAGUGGUGGAUGAGAAUAAUUACACAGAGAAAGGGGGAAAAGCUGAAACAUGGCUGAGCAGUGUUCUGAUGGAUGGGGAAGUCAUUUCCUAGCUGUUAAUGACUGAUUUUUCAACAGUCAGCACACAAGCUUUAAUCCCAGAGGGGAGAAGGAGAAAGGAACGGCCACGUUAUUAAGGAUGCUACUGAUUUAACCUUACCCAUUUUCCUCUGGACAUUGCUGGUGCCUGUCUCCCAUCUGUUCCUGCUAUUGCAGACAUACCAUGCAGGUUUGAGGUUAGGACCUGGCCUUUAUCUGAGAGACACUAGAAAGAGUUAUGGUUGUAGAAAACUACUGUAGAUCACGGUGGCGGGAUACAGCAUUAGGGUGUCAUAGCAUCGUAGGAUGUUAGGACUAGAAGGGCCACAGUAAUAACCUGAUCCAAUCUGCUCAUUUUAUAGAUGAGUCCAGAGAGGUGAAGUGAUGCGUCUAUGUCACAUAGGUGAGGGGCUUAGACAUAAGGGGAAAUUGCUCCCACAGGACCCAGGAGACUGGCCUUAUAAAAGAGGCAUGAUCAGAUCUCUGAGGGAGACAGCUUUACUAAAGCCAAUUCGAAAUUGGCAUCAGGUUGGUCUCUUGCCCUCAGAGAUAUGCUCUGGAGUUCAAUAUUCUCUCUGCAUUAGUUGUUACUGGAUGAGGUUACACAAGGUCAGAAAGGGCAUGGGUUUGUGGAAUGAUCAGUUUUGGUUUACAGACAAGUCAUGAGUCCUCUAAACUGUGACACUGACACACAUACACACACACACACACACACACACAGAGAGAGAGAGAGAGAGAGAGAAAGAGAACCCAAUUUAUCUUAUCAUUUGCAGCCAUAAAACAGAAUAACUGAUAGAAGUAGAUUAGAAGUCAUAAAACUGUGUAAAACAGGACAGCUAAGAUUUGGUUGGCAUCCCCCUUCAGGGUUCUUGAAGAGCCUUUUGGAUACUUUUGCAAAGUGCUGGGUUCCCCUCUGGCCUCCCGUGCAGAGGCCCCACAGAAAGAGGCUGCACAGUGGUGCUGGGCCGUGACAGAUUCCAGCCGUGUCUCCCCUCCCCCACCUGAGGAUAAAACCCGUCAGAAGGAAAGGCAGGAUCAUCUCCUAAGAAAAUACCGUUGCCUUUGAGGCUAAAUCAUGUCAAAAUAUAAGAUCAGGAAUGUCCAGAUGCUGUUUAUCCAAUCGUAAUUAAAUUUGGACUUCUUUAGGAGAAUAAAACAUGUCUCAGUUCCAGGAAAAGUUGUUUUGAUCCCAAGGCUGUUUGGGCUCUUUUUAUGAAAACAAACAUUUUAACCGAGAUGAUACCAAUGUUCCUAGAUUUUCACCAUGAAGGCGGGUUUUCUGGAGCAAAAUCUCUUGAGCCACCUUAUGUUCUUCAUAAUAUUUGAUCCAACAGUAUUAAAAAUCUCAGCUUUUUUUCCACUUUCAUCUUUAGUUUUCGGAAAUUAUUUUCAACAGGAUCAAU